GGCGAACGCUGGCGGCGUGCCUAAUACAUGCAAGUCGAGCGGACGAAUCGAAAGCUUGCUUUUGAUUCGUUAGCGGCGGACGGGUGAGUAACACGUGGGCAACCUGCCCUGUAGACGGGGAUAACACCGAGAAAUCGGUGCUAAUACCGGAUAACACGAAAUGUCGCAUGACGUUUCGUUGAAAGACGGCGCAAGCUGUCGCUACAGGAUGGGCCCGCGGCGCAUUGGCUAGUUGGUGAGGUAACGGCUCACCAAGGCGACGAUGCGUAGCCGACCUGAGAGGGUGAUCGGCCACACUGGGACUGAGACACGGCCCAGACUCCUACGGGAGGCAGCAGUAGGGAAUCUUCCGCAAUGGACGAAAGUCUGACGGAGCAACGCCGCGUGAGCGAAGAAGGCCUUCGGGUCGUAAAGCUCUGUUGUUAGGGAAGAACAAGUAACGCAGUAACUGGCGUUACCGUGACGGUACCUAACGAGAAAGCCACGGCUAACUACGUG
rnacentral:rRNA from 1 species